GACGAAGGGGGCUAGCGUUGCUCGGAAUUACUGGGCGUAAAGCGCGUGUAGGCGGUUGCCAUAGUCAGGUGUGAAAGCCUUGAGCUUAACUCAAGAAAUGCACUUGAUACUGGGCGACUAGAGGACCGGAGAGGAUAGUGGAAUUCCCAGUGUAGUGGUGAAAUACGUAGAGAUCGGGAAGAAUACCCGUGGCGAAGGCGGCCAGCUGGGCCAGGUCCGACACUGAGGCGCGAAAGCGUGGGGAGCAAACAGG
rnacentral:rRNA from 1 species